ensembl:misc_RNA 7SK 7SK RNA
GGAUGUGAGGGCGAUCUGGCUGCGACAUCUGUCACCCCAUUGAUCGCCAGGGUUGAUUCGGCUGAUCUGGCUGGCUAGGCGGGUGUCCCCUUCCUCCCUCACCGCUCCAUGUGCGUCCCUCCCGAAGCUGCGCGCUCGGUCGAAGAGGACGGCCUUCCCCGAAUAGAGACGGACCGGUCUUCGGUCGAGGGUAUACGAGUAGCUGCGCUCCCCUGCUAGAACCUCCAAACAAGCUCUCAAGGUCCAUUUGUAGGAGAACGUAGGGUAGUCAAGCUUCCAAGACUCCAGACACAUCCAAAUGAGGCGCUGCAUGUGGCAGUCUGCCUUUCUAA